rnacentral:lncRNA from 1 species
AAAAAACUGGCACACUGGUUCUUGCUGUAGUCCCAGCUAUUCUGAAGGCUGAGGCAGAGGGGGCCCAGGAGAUCAAGGCUACUAUAAGCCAUGAUUGUGCCACUACACUCCAGCCUUGGUGGCAGAGUAAGCCUGUCUCAAAAAAACAAAAAACAAACAAACAAAAAACCACAAAACAAAGAAAUACCUGAAACGGGGUAAAUUACAAAGAAAAGAGGUUUAAUUGGCUCACGGUUCUGCAGGCUUUACAGGAAGCAUGGUGCUGGCAUCUGCUUCUCAGGGAGCUUUCAAUCAUGGUGGAAGGCAAAGGGGGAAGCCUGUGUCCCGCAAGGCCAGAACAGGAGCAAAAGAGGGAGCAGGGGGAGGUGCCACACACUUAAAGAACCAGAUCUCCCAAGAACUCACUGUUUCAAGGACAGCACCACGCCAUGAGGGAUCCUCCUCCAUGAUCCAAUCACCUCCUACCUAGCCAACACCUCCAACGUUGGGGAUUACAGUUCAACAUGAGAUUUGUCUAUUCAGAAUAUUACAUUAAUUGAUUUCUCA